UGUUGGAGGAAAUUUUGGGGGGAACAUGGCCCUUUAUCUUAACCUCAAAUUCUAUUAAUACUCGUGGUUAAUUAAACAGAUUUUUUUUUCCAUUUUGGUUCAGUUUCACAAAGCUUUAUUGAAUGCCAAGUGCCUUAUUCUCAGCUCACGAGAGAUGAGUAAAAUGGGCUCAGAGACAAGUCAGACUUGCUUGAGAUUAAAUAAGCAAAUCAAAUAUGAAAAUGGGAAAUCCCAGGAAAUAAUGAGUGCUCGCCUUGUUCCCAUUCCAUAGACAUCAGGAGACUAAACAACCAAGCGAGAACAGUGGGAAUACAGGACUUCUUUAGCGCAAACCUGUUGAGGUCACACUUGAGUUAUGACUCUGGUCCCUCCAGUUAAAGGGACCCCCCCCGCACAAGAUGAAAACUUGAGCGGGGUGAGCAGAGGUUGAUUUCCAUUGGGGUGUUAUGGGGU
rnacentral:lncRNA from 1 species